CCCUGUAUAUCCUAUAACCAUAGAAUUCCAACUAAAACCACUCUAUCCCCCCCUCUUUUAUUUUGGUGUCUCAUCAACAACCCGACAAGUAAACCCCAAUUCCCCAUUCUUCACUUACCAAUCAAUUGUUAAACUCCAAGUCACCUAAAUCUCAGUUGGAACUCACAUCAAACACCUUUGAGUGCAUCCCCAAUGCUCCCACAAACAGAGAACAUAUGAAUCAUCCCAUUCAAAACAGACAAAGCCAAGUUUCACAAUCCUGGUAUGAGCUCUUUCUCUUUCAAUCAAAAAACUAAACUCAGCAAAAAUCUUCGCAAGGAUAGGAAAAGUGUAAU
rnacentral:lncRNA from 1 species